rnacentral:tRNA from 1 species
GGCGGCGUGGCCGAGUGGUUUAGUGCGCUGGAUUUGAAAUCUGGAGGUCCCUGGUUCAAAUCCUCCACCCUGCCACGACUGCCA